GCAUCGGUGGUUUAGUGGUAAAAUUAGCCGUUGCCAUCCAUUACAGGACAAUUUCGGCUAGCCCCGGGUUCGAUUCCCGGCCGAUGCA
rnacentral:tRNA from 1 species